GGUAAGGUGGCUGAAUUAUAAGUGGUAGAUUGUAAAUCUAUUUAUGAGAUUUAUUUCUCUCUUACCA
rnacentral:tRNA from 1 species